GGCCCUUCGGGGUACACGAGCGGCGGACGGCUGAGUAACACGUAGGAACGUACCCCAAAGUGAGGGAUAAGCACCAGAAAUGGUGUCUAAUACCGCAUGUGCUCUAAGGAGUAAAGCUCCGGCGCUUUGGGAACGGCCUGCGCAUGAUUAGCUAGAUGGUGAGGUAAUGGCUCACCAUGGCGACGAUCAUUAGCUGGUCUGAGAGGAUGAUCAGCCAGACUGGGACUGAGACACGGCCCAGACUCCUACGGGAGGCAGCAGUAGGGAAUUUUCCACAAUGGGCGAAAGCCUGAUGGAGCAACGCCGCGUGCAGGAUGAAUGCCUUCGGGUUGUAAACUGCUUUUAUAUGUGACGAAUAUGACGGUAGCAUAUGAAUAAGGAUCGGCUAACUCCGUGCCAGCAGCCGCGGUCAUACGGAGGAUCCAAGCGUUAUCCGGAAUUACUGGGCGUAAAGAGUUGCGUAGGCGGCAUAGUAAGCAGAUAGUGAAAGCGUGUGGCUCAACCAUACUCACAUUAUCUGAACUGCUAAGCUAGAGGACGAGAGAGGUCACUGGAAUUCCUAGUGUAGGAGUGAAAUCCGUAGAUAUUAGGAGGAACACCAAUGGCGUAGGCAGGUGACUGGCUCGUUCCUGACGCUCAGGCACGAAAGCGUGGGGAGCAAACGGGAUUAGAUACCCCGGUAGUCCACGCCGUAAACGAUGGAUGCUAGCUGUUAGAGGUAUCGACCCCUCUAGUAGCGAAGCUAACGCGUUUAAGCAUCCCGCCUGUGGAGUACGGUCGCAAGACUAAAACAUAAA
rnacentral:rRNA from 1 species